GUCCACGCCCUAAACGAUGUCAACUAGGUGUUGGGGGAGGAGACUUCCUUAGUACCGCAGCUAACGCGUGAAGUUGACCGCCUGGGGAGUACGGUCGCAAGAUUAAAACUCAAAGGAAUUGACGGGGACCCCGCACAAGCGGUGGAUUAUGUGGAUUAAUUCGAUGCAACGCGAAAAACCUUACCUACCCUUGACAUGCCCGAAAGCUCGCAGAGAUGUGAGUGUGCCCGAAAGGGAAUCGGGACACAGGUGCUGCAUGGCUGUCGU
rnacentral:rRNA from 1 species